rnacentral:rRNA from 1 species
GACGUCAAGUCAUCAUGGCCCUUACGGCCAGGGCUACACACGUGCUACAAUGGUCGGUACAAAGGGUUGCUACACAGCGAUGUGAUGCUAAUCUCAAAAAGCCGAUCGUAGUCCGGAUUGGAGUCUGCAACUCGACUCCAUGAAGUCGGAAUCGCUAGUAAUCGCGGAUCAGAAUGCCGCGGUGAAUACGUUCCCGGGCCUUGUACACACCGCCCGUCACACCAUGGGAGUUUGUUGCACCAGAAGUAGCUAGCCUAACUGCAAAGAGGGCGGUUACCACGGUGUGGCCGAUGACUGGGGUGAAGUCGUAACAAGGUAGCCGUAGGGGAACCUGCGGCUGGAUCACCUCCUUA